rnacentral:lncRNA from 1 species
GGUUUCAACUUACUUGUUUCGCCAAAACAUCAGAAUGAUAGGCCUGCAUGCGUAAAUGACAAAUGGAGUAAAUGACACGCUCUCAGAGGCACCAAAAUAGGACAAAUAAGGUGUGAAACAAGAAAACAAACAAACAGGAAUUUGCGGCUCCUUUGAGAAAGAGUGACGAGAAAACAAAUAUAAAACAAAAAGUAAAAGAAGUUCCACAGAACUGGGCAACCGGAGUCCACGAUUCGUUGGAUAUAAAGCUGCUGCCUGUGGUGAAAAAUGCACAAGAAAAAGAUUCCAACUUGAUCUUUACCACACCUGCUUUACAAUCUGCAAAUUUUUUUUAUAUGCUAUAUACAUAUAUAAGAAAAAGCCAGUCCUAGUGUUAGGGCGAAAGGACAGUAGUGUGAGUAUUGGGUGAUCAAUCUGUAUGUUAGUAUUCAAUCUUCCCAAGCUGUCUGCAGCGGUCGAACAAGUACAGUGCUGGUUAACAAUUGAAGUCCAUAUGCACAAGUGCAUGCUAGUAAGUGAACCGACAGUCUGAAAGCAUGCAAAAUACACCGAAUAUGAAUGCACUAUUAUUGUACGUUUACUAAGAAGCUUUACAAAUUGAGCAACCUAGUUAAAGAAACAUGGCUGGACAACAUUUGAUGGUUGCAAGUGUGGGUAAGUAUGGCCAAUAAUUAUGACAGUGGCAAAGUAGUAAAAUAUGAACAUAUUAGCCCUCUGGCUCAUGAAGCUAGCUUGAAGAAGUGGUAGGAUGGAUAGCCAUGUAAUUCAAAAUUUAUGUAGGACAGCAGUUCUCGAAUUGAAGUAAAAAUCAAGGGACAAUACAAAACAAAGAAAAAAAUAUAAUUACUUGAAACCAAGGGGAGAUAGGUGUAGCUGAGGGUGUAGCCGAGCUUACUUGAGAAAUAAUGCCGUUACUCACAAGACUUACAACAGCAACCAGCCAAUGAAAUGCAACAAGUGGCAAGGAGAUAGCUCAAACCUUUGCCACAAGCAAAUGGCACUUUGUAGAUAGCUAGUCUCACCGAAAACAUGUCAGCUACCAUCCUAAGUGCGAUGCGUGUCAAUGUGUUAAAAGGCACAGAUUAGCCCAAAUUGCACAUUCCGCAACUGUCCUAGGCACAACUAGCUGCACAAUCAGCUAACAGAAAGUGGUUCUGCGGGAAGGUACUAGCUCAAGCCGUGCACAAUGCAAGUUGGUUUUCUGCACAAUGCAAACGUUGCCUGAAUUGCAAGCUGAAACAACAAGCACUAGGCCAAUGCAAGGUACAGCAAGCCUAUGCCACCACAAAACCUGCAGACAAGAUCUCAUUCUCAAGCAACAUUUCAGGUUGCUGUUUACUUUCAGCACCGCUGUAAGUAAUGCAUAAAGCUCCAAAUGUAAAUUGCUAAAGAUAAAGAAACUGGUGAUGCAAGAGUCUUGAACCAAUGUCAGAAGGCCAAAGUUAAACAAGCUACGGUCCCAAAGAUUUUAUCUUGCGCAUAAAAUGUGUCAACAUCACCAGCAACCAAGGUUGUGCUUCUUAAUCAGAUAAAAUGCACAGUUCACAGUGAUCAUGAAUAACCUGUCAAAUGGUUCAUGCUUUUUCCAGUGAUCGUGAGACCCCUGGCAGCCAUAAGCUCAUAAAAAGUGAGCUACCAAGCAUUUGUGUUAUCGCUCAAGCACCUUGGACCAACUUGUAAGCCAACACUGAAUGCAACAUUUCCAGUGACAUGCUGCAUAACAAAUGCAAGGUGUCAAAGCUCAUGCUGGGUUAUGAAGUUAUGUACCAUGUUAUAGUCAUUACAUUCUUCUUUUAUUAAUAUGACAACUAGUAACUUUUCUUUGCCAUUUAAGCGAUUUCUCCUCAGUUUCAUCAGCAUUACAAGUCUUGAGCACCUCAAGAAAUCAUGGUCAUAUUGCACUUCAUUCCUGGGAUGAUAAAGAAGUUCUUGAAUUCUGUGCUGCCCAAACACUGGACUAAAGUUUAAGUGUGCAGUGCAACUAGGUCAACAACAUCUUUCCUAAUGUAUUAUGUACUGUAUUGCGAGAAAAACAAGCUAGGUUAUCUACUGCUCUUGCAACGAUCGUGUCCCACAUGGUCACCAUGCCCGAAAGAAAUAAAA